rnacentral:rRNA from 1 species
CCCUUAAGCUUUUUAUGCGUCAGGUGAAACUUCUGGAAAGUUGUGCGAUACAGGGUGAUAGCCCCGUAACCGGCAACGCAUUUUAAGUGAAAUCGAGUAGGGCGGGACACGUGAUAUCCUGUCUGAAUAUGGGGGGACCAUCCUCCAAGGCUAAAUACUACUGACUGACCGAUAGUGAACCAGUACCGUGAGGGAAAGGCGAAAAGAACCCCUGUGAGGGGAGUGAAAUAGAACCUGAAACCGUGUACGUACAAGCAGUAGGAGCACCUUCGUGGUGUGACUGCGUACCUUUUGUAUAAUGGGUCAGCGACUUAUAUUCAGUGGCAAGGUUAACCAUCUAGGGGAGCCGUAGGGAAACCGAGUCUUAACUGGGCGUUCAGUCUCUGGAUAUAGACCCGAAACCAGGUGAUCUAGCCAUGGGCAGGUUGAAGGUUGAGUAACAUCAACUGGAGGACCGAACCGACUAAUGUUGAAAAAUUAGCGGAUGACUUGUGGCUAGGGGUGAAAGGCCAAUCAAACCUGGAGAUAGCUGGUUCUCCCCGAAAGCUAUUUAGGUAGCGCCUCGGACGAAUACUACUGGGGGUAGAGCACUGUUAAGGCUAGGGGGUCAUCCCGACUUACCAACCCUUUGCAAACUCCGAAUACCAGUAAGUACUAUCCGGGAGACACACGGCGGGUGCUAACGUCCGUCGUGGAGAGGGAAACAACCCAGACCGCCAGCUAAGGUCCCAAAUUACUACUAAGUGGGAAACGAUGUGGGAAGGCUCAGACAGCCAGGAUGUUGGCUUAGAAGCAGCCAUCAUUUAAAGAAAGCGUAAUAGCUCACUGGUCGAGUCGGCCUGCGCGGAAGAUGUAACGGGGCUAAGUAGUAAACCGAAGCUGCGGCAAUGCACUUUAGUGCAUUGGGUAGGGGAGCGUUCUGUAAGCGGUUGAAGGUGUGUGGUAACGCAUGCUGGACGUAUCAGAAGUGCGAAUGCUGACAUGAGUAACGAUAAAGGGGGUGAAAAACCUCCUCGCCGGAAGACCAAGGGUUCCUGUCCAACGUUAAUCGGGGCAGGGUAAGUCGACCCCUAAGGCGAGGCCGAAAGGCGUAGUCGAUGGGAAACGGGUUAAUAUUCCCGUACUUCUUACAAUUGCGAUGGGGGGACGGAGAAGGCUAGGUGGGCCUGGCGACGGUUGUCCAGGUUCAAGUGCGUAGGCUGAAGAGUUAGGUAAAUCCGGCUCUUCUUAAGGCUGAGACACGACGUCGAGCUACUACGGUAGUGAAGUCAUUGAUGCCAUGCUUCCAGGAAAAGCCUCUAAGCUUCAGAUUGUAAGGAAUCGUACCCCAAACCGACACAGGUGGUCGGGUAGAGAAUACCAAGGCGCUUGAGAGAACUCGGGUGAAGGAACUAGGCAAAAUGGUACCGUAACUUCGGGAGAAGGUACGCUCUCGACGGUGAAGUCCCUCGCGGAUGGAGCUAUUGAGAGUCGCAGAUACCAGGUGGCUGCAACUGUUUAUUAAAAACACAGCACUGUGCAAAAUCGUAAGAUGACGUAUACGGUGUGACGCCUGCCCGGUGCCGGAAGGUUAAUUGAUGGGGUUAGACUUCGGUCGAAGCUCUUGAUCGAAGCCCCGGUAAACGGCGGCCGUAACUAUAACGGUCCUAAGGUAGCGAAAUUCCUUGUCGGGUAAGUUCCGACCUGCACGAAUGGCGUAAUGAUGGCCACGCUGUCUCCACCCGAGACUCAGUGAAAUUGAAAUCGCUGUGAAGAUGCAGUGUACCCGCGGCUAGACGGAAAGACCCCGUGAACCUUUACUACAGCUUGGCACUGAACAUUGACCCUACAUGUGUAGGAUAGGUGGGAGGCUUUGAAACUAGUACGCCAGUAUUAGUGGAGCCGUCCUUGAAAUACCACCCUUGUAGUGUUGAUGUUCUAACGUUGACCCCUUAUCGGGGUUGCGGACAGUGCCUGGUGGGUAGUUUGACUGGGGCGGUCUCCUCCCAAAGCGUAACGGAGGAGCACGAAGG